rnacentral:rRNA from 1 species
CAAGUCGAACGAACGGAGGAAGAGCUUGCUCUUCCAAUGUUAGUGGCGGACGGGUGAGUAACACGUGGGCAACCUGCCUGUAAGUUGGGGAUAACUCCGGGAAACCGGGGCUAAUACCGAAUGAUAAGAUGUGGCGCAUGCCACGCCUUUGAAAGAUGGUUUCGGCUAUCGCUUACAGAUGGGCCCGCGGUGCAUUAGCUAGUUGGUAGGGUAAUGGCCUACCAAGGCAACGAUGCAUAGCCGACCUGAGAGGGUGAUCGGCCACACUGGGACUGAGACACGGCCCAGACUCCUACGGGAGGCAGCAGUAGGGAAUCUUCCGCAAUGGACGAAAGUCUGACGGAGCAACGCCGCGUGUAUGAAGAAGGUUUUCGGAUCGUAA